rnacentral:rRNA from 1 species
CCUACGGGAGGCAGCAGUGAGGAAUAUUGGACAAUGGGCGCAAGCCUGAUCCAGCCAUGCCGCGUGCAGGAAGACGGUCCUAUGGAUUGUAAACUGCUUUUAUACAGGAAGAAACACCUCUACGUGUAGAGACUUGACGGUACUGUAUGAAUAAGCAUCGGCUAACUCCGUGCCAGCAGCCGCGGUAAUACGGAGGAUGCAAGCGUUAUCCGGAAUCAUUGGGUUUAAAGGGUCCGUAGGCGGUUUAAUAAGUCAGUGGUGAAAGCCCAUCGCUCAACGAUGGAACGGCCAUUGAUACUGUUAAACUUGAAUUAUUAGGAAGUAACUAGAAUAUGUAGUGUAGCGGUGAAAUGCUUAGAGAUUACAUGGAAUACCAAUUGCGAAGGCAGGUUACUACUAAUAUAUUGACGCUGAUGGACGAAAGCGUGGGGAGCGAACAGGAUUAGAUACCCUGGUAGUCCACGCCGUAAACGAUGGAUACUAGCUGUUCGGAGCAAUCUGAGUGGCUAAGCGAAAGUGAUAAGUAUCCCACCUGGGGAGUACGUUCGCAAGAAUUGAAACUUNAAAUUGAAUUGACGGNUUGAGAGNGCGACGACGACGACGAGGAGGAGG